rnacentral:lncRNA from 15 species
CCAGUGAACUCAUCAAAGUGCCAUCAUGGCAGCCGCCAGUCUCUCUCGCUCUGGAUCAGCCGCUCUGACCUUUGAGGAUUACUCUCUCUAUAAUAACCUGAGUGAUGAAGAGCUAGUGCAGGUUGCCAUCGAGCGCAGUCUGACCGACGUGCAAGGCUACACUGCUGCUGUCGCUACCUCACCCCCUCACCCCCUUGACAGCAACAGCCUGAACCCUACAGCCAGAAACCACCACCACCAAAGCCACAGCUCCCAUAAUCCACCUCCAGACCAGACUGCCGCCCACUACAGUUCUCCAAAUCCUCCAAGUGAAACGCCUCCUGAUCCGAAGACGUUUGAUGGGACAAUCAGUCACUUCAUGACAGGUUCUGGGAAGAGGAUGAUGGCGUAUCGCAGGGCCGACGGCAGUUUGGUCCACAUCGUUCCAGAACCUGAAGAGUGAGUCAAGUUCUGUGUAAAUCAUCAUCAUUAUCAGUGGCUCUCCAUGUUCAGGAAUUUUGGCUAGUGUAAACUUAGAUAUAUAUUUAGACUGUUUUUCUGCUAUCGAUCUGCAUCAGUUAACUUCAAUCAUUUCUUCAUCGAAGCCAUCAACCUGUCUAUUAGACCCGAUCCCAACUAGGCUGCUUAAAGAAGUUGUUCCCUUAAUUGGCACUUCUUUACUGGAUAUGAUUAAUCUUUCUUUAUUAUCAGGAUAUGUACCACAGUCAUUUAAAGUAGCUGUAAUUAAACCCCUUCUUAAAAAGCCCACUCUUGACCCAGGGCUUUAAGCCAACUAUAGACCAAUCUCUAACCUCCCCUUCUUCUCUUAAGAUUCUGGAGAAAGUAGUCGCCAAAGAGUUGUGUGACUUUCUACACAACAAUAGUUUAUUUGAGGAUUUUCAGUCAGGAUUUAGAGUUCAUCACAGCACAGAGACAGCUCUGGUUAAAGUUAAUAAUGACCUUCUGAUUGCUUCUGACAAUGGACUUGUCUCUGUACUUGUAUUAUUAGAUCUUAGUGCUGCAUUUGACACCAUUGACCAUAAUAUUCUUUUACAGAGACUUGAGCAUCAAAUUGGCAUUAAAGGAACCACACUAAGCUGGUUUAAGUCAUAUUUAUCAGAUCGUUCGCAGUUUGUAAAUGUUAACGAUGAAUCUUCAAUAAAUACUACAGUUGGUCAUGGAGUUCCACAAGGUUCUGUACUUGGACCAAUACUAUUUACUUUAUACAUGCUCCCUUUAGGCAACAUUAUCAGGAAUCACUCCAUUAACUUUCACUGUUAUGCAGAUGAUACGCAGUUAUAUCUAUCGAUCAAGCCCGAUGAGAUUAAUCAAUUAUCUAAAUUACAAACAUGUCUUAAGGACAUAAAAUCCUGGAUGAGCUGCAAUUUUCCGAUGUUAAACUCAGAAAAAAAUUAAAUUCUUGUUCUUGGCCUCAAAAACCUUAGAGACUCACUGUCUAAAGAUAUAGUUACUCUAGAUGGCAUUACC